rnacentral:rRNA from 1 species
UACAGAGGCCACGAGCGUUAGGCGGAAUCACUGGGCUUAAAGCGUGUGUAGGUGGAUGACUAAGUACCUUGUGAAAUCCCACGGCUCAACCGUGGAACUGCUUGGUAUACUGGUUGUCUUGAGGCACUCAGGGGCGAGCGGAACAGAUGGUGGAGCGGUGAAAAUGCGUAGAUAUCAUCUGGAACGCCAAUGGGUGAAGACAGCUCGCUGGGGGUGUACUGACACUGAGACACGAAAGCCAGGGGAGCAAACGGG